GACGAACGCUGGCGGCGUGGAUUAGGCAUGCAAGUCGAACGGUAGGAUACCUUCGGGUAUCUGAGAGUGGCGAACGGGUGAGUAACACGUAGGUGAUCUACCCUCAAGAUUGGGACAACCCAGGGAAACUUGGGCUAAUACCGGAUGAAAGCAGCAGUGAUGUUGUUUGAAAGGUGGCGUAAGCUGCCGUUUGGGGAUGAGCCUGCGCUCUAUUAGUUAGUUGGCGGGGUAAAGGCCCACCAAGGCGAUGAUAGAUAGGCGGCCUUAACGGGUGGUCGCCCACACUGGGAUUGAGAUACGGCCCAGACUCCUACGGGAGGCAGCAGUCGAGAAUAGUCUACAAUGGUCGGAAGACUGAUAGUGCGACGCCGCGUGAACGAAGAAGCCCUUCGGGUGUAAAGUUCUUUUAUAUGUGAGCAGUGCUUUCUAUGUGAACAGCAUGGGGAGAGAGAUAUUAGCAUAUGAAUAAGCAACGGCUAACUCCGUGCCAGC
rnacentral:rRNA from 1 species